rnacentral:scRNA from 1 species
GUCAUGAAGACGGUCGGCGAUACGUCAGCCAG